UGCAUAUCAAUAAGCGGAGGAAAAGAAACUAACAAGGAUUCCCCUAGUAACGGCGAGCGAAGCGGGAAGAGCUCAAAUUUGAAAGCUGGCGCCUUCGGCGUCCGCGUUGUAAUCUCGAGACGUGUUUUCCGUGCGGCGCUAUGGACAAGUCCCUUGGAACAGGGCAUCGUAGAGGGUGAAAAUCCCGUACUUGCCAUGGAUGUACCGUGCUUUGUGAUACACGCUCUAAGAGUCGAGUUGUUUGGGAUUGCAGCUCAAAAUGGGUGGUAGACUCCAUCUAAAGCUAAAUAUCGGGGAGAGACCGAUAGCGAACAAGUACCGUGAGGGAAAGAUGAAAAGCACUUUGGAAAGAGAGUUAAAAGUACGUG
rnacentral:rRNA from 1 species